GCCCCCGUGGGGUAGCGGAUAUCCUGAGGGGCUGCGGACUCCUCGACCCGGGUUCAACUCCCGGCGGGGGCA
rfam:Archaeoglobus fulgidus DSM 4304, complete genome.